rnacentral:rRNA from 1 species
UACGAGGGGGGCAAGCGUUGUUCGGAAUUACUGGGCGUAAAGGGCUCGUAGGUGGCCAACUAAGUCAGACGUGAAAUCCCCAGGCUUAACCUGGGAACUGCGUCUGAUACUGGAUGGCUUGAAUUCGGGAGAGGGAUGCAGAAUUCCAGGUGUAGCGGUGAAAUGCGUAGAUAUCUGGAGGAAUACCGGUGGCGAAGGCGGCAUCCUGGACCGAGAUUGACACUGAUGAGCGAAAGCUAGGGGAGCAAACGGG